CGGAAAUGACGUCACCUGCACCACCUACAUUAGUCAGGAGCACUAGAUUGAAGAAUGAGUGACCGUUUAUGGUGAAUCUCAUUCCACCAAUCUUCCUGCAAGCAACUCUGCCGAAAUCAAUUAACAAACACGAAAAUAAAGCUUAACCUAAACCGACAGCACACUUAUCUUACCUUCUGUAUUGAACCGGUAUUAUCCCAGCAAUCUCUUGAGCAAUGUGCUUAAAGGUUGGCUGGGCUAAAUCAAAGUGUUGCAAGGGAGGAUUACACCAUCCUCCAGCAUUAUUCGGAAGGCCGUUAUUUGGUGGACAGAAGUUUGUAGCUGUUACAAUGAUGGAUCCCGGUAGGCACCAUUUGGCAUCAUUAAAACACUUGAUUUCAAAACAAGCUCCACAGGCAAGACCAUUGUUGAAAAGAGCAGUACUUAGUGCAGCUGUGGUUGUACCAUAUCCUUGACUAUACAGAUUUCCAUACCCGCAAGCUCCUCCUGUGUCAAAACGGGUAAUUUUGUAAUACAUGUCAGAAAACCCAUCUCUUUUCUUUCUUUCUAAGCUAUUAUUAUUUACAAUGUGAAAUGAGUGAACGUGAUUGUAUAUAGUUUUGAAUCAUAUGAUGUUUUGGCUGGCAUGUGAAAAUGGAUUGUGGGCGACUUUCAAGCAGAAAUGCAUAAUCAUAUAGUUAAAUUUUUUGCA